GUAUAUGAUGAAAAACAUCACGACGGUCAACUGUAAUCCGCUUUAUUAAGUUGGAUGUUUGAUGACAAAACCUGGCUCUAAACCAGCCGUUUCACUGAAA
rfam:Pichia membranifaciens DNA, contig: CON036, strain: KS47-1.